GGAGUAGGGAAACUAAUCGAGCAAGAUAGCUGGCUAAGAUUUGAACUUUGAACAUGAAUGUGAAGGAGCCAGGCAUGGGAAAAGAAGAAAGGCGGACAGGUCAGUCCCAAGGUAGCCGCAGAGUUUCCUGAGAUCACAUUCCAGCUGGCUCAGAGCAAGACGGCCCCCUGCAGGAGAAUCAAACUCAUCCUGUGAGCUGUGACUGCCAUCCAGAUGAAACUGUUUGGUAACCAGACGGGCUCAGAGCGCGGAGCUGCCGAGCCAAACUGACCUUGGACCUGGGGAAAGACAAACAGGUGUUACCUGCAUUUAUCUGAUCUUGUUCUGGGAAAUUUGAAUAGGACCGACUCAAAAACCCCAAAACAAUGACCCCUUUUUUUUAAAUGAAAUUAAAGUGGGACAAUAUAUGACAUACCUUUUGAUGUAGCCAAUCAGACAGAAGGAGGAGAUGUUGUCAUGUCGGAUUUGAGAUUGAUUCAGCCACAUUGUGUGUUUUUUCUUUAUAAAGUGUAAUGUGGAAUUAUAGUAUUAAAAUGAUGAAUGUAUAAUGAUUGUUUAGUUUUUUUUUACUUUUCAGGUUAUUCAGAUACACACUGCAACACAAAGGUCGUCAGGCUUUUA